rnacentral:tRNA from 1 species
AGGGUUAUAUUUAACUAUAAUAUUUGAAUUGCAAUCAAAAGGUAUUCUCUAAUAGAAUUAACCUUU